UGUAUAUAGAAGUAGGAGGUCAACCCUCAAGUUUCCAUUUAAAUUUCUGAAUCUGAAUGAACUUUAUUUAUUUAUCAGUACAGGUCUCCUCUCAAGGAGCUGCUUCCAGAGUAACCAAUUCCCAAACCAUCCCAGGAUUCUGUGUCACCGUGUGUGGGUCUCACUGGGACAUGGCACAUCCUCUUCUGGGCUACCCUGAGCAUGUUGAUCCAUCUAAUUCUGCCUGAGAUGUCACAGCGUAUGAAAACCUGCUCCAGCUGCGCCUGGGAGCAGAAAGGAGCCAAAAUCUUCCUCCAGAGUGGGAUUUUAGGAGCUGUGAUCUCUCCCUGGUGAGCAGCAAGACGGAGCCUGAAUUUAUCUUUUUAUCUCUAAAUGAAGAAUCGCAUCUAGAGCACAGUGAGCAGGUACUGGGAAAAUCGUGGACUUCCAUGCACGAAUGGUUGGAGGAGCACUAAGAGGAAGCCUUGCAAUUUCCCGAUGAUCUCUCCUGGUGCGGUAUUUCCCUCUUGU